UACGUAGGGUGCAAGCGUUAAUCGGAAUUACUGGGCGUAAAGCGUGCGCAGGCGGUUGUGCAAGACCGAUGUGAAAUCCCCGGGCUUAACCUGGGAACUGCACUUGUGACUGCACGGCUGGGGUACGGCAGAGGGGAUGGAAUUCCGCGUGUAGCAGUGAAAUGCGUAGAUAUGCGGAGGAACACCGAUGGCGAAGGCAGUCCCCUGGGCCUGUACUGACGCUCAUGCACGAAAGCGUGGGGAGCAAACAGG
rnacentral:rRNA from 1 species